UGAUAUUUCGGAACUGAGUCUAGUUCCUUCGAUAUCGAUGUAAUCUAGUAAUCAUGAUUUUUUACAUCGAUAUCGAAGGAACUAGACUCAGUUCCGAAAUAUCACA
rnacentral:miRNA from 1 species